UACGGAGGAUGCAAACGCUAUCCGGGAUGAUGGGGCGUAAAGCGUCCGCAGGUGGUGUUGUAAGUCUGUUGUUAAAGCGUGCGGCUUAACCGCAUAAGGGCGAUGGAAACUACAAGACUAGAGUGCGUUAGGGGUAGAGGGAAUUCCUGGUGUAGCGGUGAAAUGCGUAGAGAUCAGGAAGAACACCAGUGGCGAAAGCGAUCUACUAUGCCGCAACUGACACUGAGGGACGAAAGCUAGGGGAGCGAAGGGG
rnacentral:rRNA from 1 species